ensembl:snRNA U6 U6 spliceosomal RNA
AUUUUGGCGAAACAUAAUACUAAUAUUGAACAAUACAGAUAAUAUAAACACGGCCCCUGCUCAAAGAUGACACAUAAAUUUAUAAAUUGUCCCAUACGAAA